UACAGAGGGGGCAAGCGUUGUUCGGAAUUACUGGGCGUAAAGGGCGCGUAGGCGGCCUUCUAAGUCGAACGUGAAAUCCCCGGGCUCAACCCGGGAACUGCGUCCGAUACUGGAAGGCUUGAAUCCGGGAGAGGGAUGUGGAAUUCCAGGUGUAGCGGUGAAAUGCGUAGAUAUCUGGAGGAACACCGGUGGCGAAGGCGGCAUCCUGGACCAAUAUUGACGCUGAGGAGCGAAAGCCAGGGGAGCAACGGG
rnacentral:rRNA from 1 species